GUAACGGCGAGUGAAGCGGCAACAGCUCAAAUUUGAAAUCUGGUCACCUUACGGAGGCCCGAGUUGUAAUUUGAAGAGGAUGCUUUUGGCGAGGUGCCUUCCGAGUGCCCUGGAACGGGACGCCACAGAGGGUGAGAGCCCCGUAUGGUUGGACACCGAGCCUAUGUAAAGCUCCUUCGACGAGUCGAGUAGUUUGGGAAUGCUGCUCAAAAUGGGAGGUAAACCCCUUCUAAAGCUAAAUAUUGGCCAGAGACCGAUAGCGCACAAGUAGAGUGAUCGAAAGAUGAAAAGCACUUUGAAAAGAGAGUUAAACAGCACGUGAAAUUGUUGAAAGGGAAGCGCUUGCGACCAGACUUGCGCCCGUCGGAUCAACCGUCGCUUGUCGGCGGCGCACUCCGGCGGGCUCAGGCCAGCAUCAGUUUUCCCGGGGGGAGAAAGGCGGUGGGAAUGUAGCUCCUAGGAGUGUUAUAGCCCGCCGCGUAAUACCCUCGGGGGGACUGAGGACCGCGCAUCUGCAAG
rnacentral:rRNA from 1 species